rnacentral:lncRNA from 1 species
GGGAGGCUGAGGCAGCCCCCACCCCCUUUGCCCGUUUUCCCUGCUUUUCACCCCAUUUCCCCCCACUGCUCUGGAGGGGGCCCCCAAGCCCCUCCCCCCAGCCCCUCCAUUGACCCGAUUCCCCCGAUUUUGCCCAAAUCCGCUGGUUUUCGCCCCGUUUCCCGAUUCCCCCCUUUUUGAGCCGAUUUUUGCCCGUUUUCUCACUUUCUUCCCUCAUUUACCACCCUCGGCGGGCGCACAAAGGCCGGGCGGAGGCAACCCUCCGCCUUCCCCAACUUUCCCCCUACUUUUUGCCCGAUUCUGCCGCUUUUUGCCCCGUUUCCCAAUUUCUCCAUUUUCCACCCGAUUUUGCCCGUUUUCCCCGCUUUCCGGCCCAUUUUGCCAUCCUCGGUGGGCGCUCGGGAGCUGGGCGGAGGCUGCUCCCCUCCCCCUCCCCCCCUUCCCACCCCAUUUUGCUCAAAUCCGCUGUUUUUCACCCCGUUUCCCAGUCCCCUCCUUUUCCACCCAAACUUGCCCAAUUCUUUGAUUUUUUACCCCAUUUACCAUCCUCAGCGGGCGCAAAGACGUUGAGGCACCGUCAGCGCUUCUGCUUUCCCCGCUCCUCUCCCCGCUUUUUGCCCAAAUUACCCAUUUUCCCCCCCAUUUCCAAAUUCCCCCUUUCCCACCCGAAAUUGCCCAAACUUUGGAUUUCUCACCCCAGUUUGCCACCCUCGCUUUGGGGCGGAAUCGGCUUUUUGCCUCCCCCCCACUCCUCCCUCAACUUUUGGCCCAAUUCGGGCUUUUUUUCACCCGUUUCCCGCUUCCCCCGUUCCUGCCCGAACUUGCCCAAACCUUCGCUUUCUGACCCCAUUUCGCAGCCCCCGGCCCUCGCGCUUCCCCCGCUCCUCCUCCAACGUUUUGCCCAAAACCCCCGUUUUCCACCCCAUUUCCCAAUCCAACCUUUCCCACCCGAAUUUGCCCAAACCUCGGCUUUUUCGCCCCAAUUCACCACCCUCGGGAUCGCGUCAGGACGGGGACAGAGGCCGCCCUUCCGCCCCCGGCCCCUUUUUGCCCACUUUCGCCGUUUCCCACCCCAUUUCCCAAUCCCCCUUUACCCCCCCCAAUUUUACCCAUUUUGGGCGUUUUUCUCCCCAUUUCCCUCCCCCAGCAGACUCCCCGUGACCGGGGCUGAGCCCUCCCCUUCUGCUCCCUCCCCUUUUUGCCCCAAAUCCCCAUUUUUCUCCCCAUUUCCCACCCCCAGCAGACUCCCAGUGACCGGG